ensembl:snRNA U6 U6 spliceosomal RNA
GUGCUAGCUGUGUGGCAGCACAUAUACUACAGGUGGAACAAUACAGAGAAGAUUAGCAUGGGCCCUGCGCAAGGAUGACACGCAAAGAUGUGAAGCGUUCCAUAGUUUU